rnacentral:rRNA from 1 species
AAUACGUUCCCGGGCCUUGUACACACCGCCCGUCACACCACGAAAGUCGGCAACACCCGAAGCCGGUGGCCCAACCCGUAAGGAGGGAGCCGUCGAAGGUGGGGUCGGUGAUUGGGGUG